rnacentral:lncRNA from 1 species
UGCUUACUUGAAUAUUAGUUUAAAAAGAAACCAUAUAUGAAUCUUAACUGUGUUCUGUGUUUUAGGAAAAUCUUGCUGAAACACUAACCAAAGACUCUUGGGCUAUUAGCUUACAUCUUAAGAUAUAAGAUUCAUAUUAUAAAGAUUCAAGGUUUUGAUUUUCAUUCUGCACCAUUCUUCUGCCUGUUGUCUGUCCAACAUCUGAACUUAAGAGUAUCCAAAAUGCUCGUCCAUUUUUGGUCCAGAACAUCUGGAGGAUAUCAAAUGCAGCAUGAUAAACAAUGCACAAAUAAUAAAAUCAUUUAUCCCAAUGACCAAGCGUGACUGAUGCAAUCAUGGAAGAAUUUGUCUCCCCUGCCAAACCCCCAAGUAAGAUCUGUGAGUGCUUUGCGAGGACAGAAUAAUAAAACUACGUGGAGGAAAUUGGAAAACUGAAAGAAAAGAUGAAAUAGAGGAUUUCAAGCCAUCCAACUUGUUGGAAAUCUGAAGAGCAGCAUUCUGCCAUUUUCCCCCUUUGUAUCUUUGAAGCACUUCUCUACUUGAUGCAUUUUUUUUUUAUUCUGUUUUUCCUCCCUGCCAGAAUAUUUAACAUCCACUCCAGAUUUAAUCUCCCAGCAAGAGCCAUGGUGGCUCCAGCGCUCAGAGGAAAGGGAGAAUCGAGAGAGCCGGAGUCUAGGCAAGGGACAAGUUGAACCCUCUCGGAUCCUAUCUGAGGGAGAAUCUGAAGGCCACAAAUCACCCAUCGGCCCUGCUCCCUCUUACAAUGGGACAAGACCCAGAGAUGCUUGUGACAACGUGACGGACGAAAACUUGGCAGAAAAUCAGCCACAGGGUGGCCUUAUGAUAGGAGAAGGCGGUGGUGUGUUACCAUGCAGCUCUAAAAGAGAUGGUUCCCUGCAGCCCAGGGGAACUUUUAAAAGCAGAAACACUUGAGGAAAAGAAUGGACUGAAUCCGAUAGCUUCAGAUAAGAUCAUUCUGUCCCCUGGUUCCUGAGUUUGCCUUUGGAGAAGUUGACGAUAGGGAUGUAGAAAACAGCCCAGCAGAUGAAAGACGACAGCAUCCAGCGCAAAAUCUUUUUAUCCAGGAGAAAGAAAAGAAAGAAGGGGGGGGGGGGGUUACAGUACUAAGGCCUCAUGCAACUUUUUUAAAAAACAAAUUCAAAAAAAAAAAUCAAGAAUGUUUUUCUUUCUCCUCCAGUAUUAAUGGACAUUUACUCAUCCAAUUUGAACAGCUCUGAAGGCAGAGGGAAAUGUCUUUAACCAGAUAAAAUAAAAUAAAAUUUUAUUAUUACCAGAAAGACCUGCAGCAUACAAAAAAACUCCAUUUUUUUUUUCAGCAUAAGGAAACUAAGAUACUCCAAAUUUUUGUUCAGGUCUCUGCAAUCCCCAGAUGUAG